rnacentral:rRNA from 1 species
GUUUGAUCCUGGCUCAGAAUCAACGCUGGCGGCGCGCCUAACACAUGCAAGUCGAACGAGAAAGUGGAGCAAUCCAUGAGUAAAGUGGCGUACGGGUGAGUAACACGUGGAUCAUCUGCCUUUUAGUGGGGAAUACCGCUGGGAAACCGGCGACAAUACCGCAUAAGCUCGAGAGAGGAAAGCCGAAAGGCGCUGAAAGAGGAGUCCGCGGUCGAUUAGCUAGUUGGUGAGGUAAUGGCUCACCAAGGCUGUGAUCGAUAGCCGGCCUGAGAGGGCACACGGCCACACUGGCACUGAAACACGGGCCAGACUCCUACGGGAGGCAGCAGUGGGGAAUCUUGCACAAUGGGGGAAACCCUGAUGCAGCGACGCCGCGUGAGCGAUGAAGCCCUUCGGGGUGUAAAGCUCUUUCGGCAGGGAAGAUUAUGACGGUACCUGCAGAAGCAGCUGCGGCUAACUACGUGCCAGCAGCCGCGGUAAUACGUAGGCAGCAAGCGUUGUUCGGAGUUACUGGGCGUAAAGGGUGCGUAGGCGGCUCGAUAAGUAUGGUGUGAAAUCUCCCGGCUUAACUGGGAGGGUGCGCUAUAGACUGCCGGGCUAGAGUGUGGGAGAGGAAAGUGGAAUUCCUGGUGUAGCGGUGAAAUGCGUAGAUAUCAGGAGGAACACCGGUGGUGUAAACGGCUUUCUGGACCAUAACUGACGCUGAGGCACGAAAGCGUGGGUAGCAAACAGGAUUAGAUACCCUGGUAGUCCACGCCCUAAACGAUGCAUAUUUGGUGUGGGUCAUUCAGUUGAUCCGUGCCGGAGCUAACGCGUUAAAUAUGCCGCCUGGGGAGUACAGUCGCAAGGCUGAAACUCAAAGGAAUUGACGGGGGCCCGCACAAGCGGUGGAGCAUGUGGUUUAAUUCGACGCAACGCGAAGAACCUUACCUGGGCUCGAAAUGCUGUGACCAGCUUAUGAAAGUAGCCUUCCCGCAGGGACGCAGUAUAGUGCUGCAUGCUGUCGUCAGCUCGUGUCGUGAGAUGUGGGUAGUCCCGCACGAGCGCACCCUGUCUGUGUGCCAUACCGAAAGGUGGACUCGCAGAAAACCGCCAGGAUAACCUGGGGAAA